rnacentral:rRNA from 1 species
GCCUACGGGACGCAGCAGUAGGGAAUCUUCCACAAUGGACGAAAGUCUGAUGGAGCAACGCCGCGUGAGUGAAGAAGGGUUUCGGCUCGUAAAGCUCUGUUGGUAGUGGAGAAAGAUAGAGGUAGUAACUGGCCUUUAUUUGACGGUAAUUACUUAGAAAGUCACGGCUAACUACGUGCCAGCAGCCGCGGUAAUACGGAGGUGGCAAGCGUUUGCCGGAUUUAUUGGGCGUAAAGCGAGUGCAGGCGGGUCCAUA